rnacentral:rRNA from 1 species
UACGGAGGGGACUAGCGUUGUUCGGAAUUACUGGGCGUAAAGCGCACGUAGGCGGAUUAUAAGUCAGGGUGAAGUCCCGGGCUCAACCUCGGAACUGCCUUUGAUACUGCAAAUCUCGAGUCCGGAAGAGGUGAGUGGAAUUCCUAGUGUAGAGGUGAAAUUCGAUAGAUAUUAGGAAGAACACCAGUGGCGAAGGCGGCUCACUGGUCCGGUACUGACGCUGAGGUGCGAAAGCGUGGGGAGCAACAGG